rnacentral:rRNA from 1 species
GAUCCUGGGCUCAGGACGAACGCUGGCGGCGUGCUUAACACAUGCAAGUCGAACGGAGCACCCUUGACUGAGGUUUCGGCCAAAUGAUAGGAAUGCUUAGUGGCGGACUGGUGAGUAACGCGUGAGGAACCUACCUUCCAGAGGGGGACAACAGUUGGAAACGACUGCUAAUACCGCAUGACGCAUGACCGGGGCAUCCCGGGCAUGUCAAAGAUUUUAUCGCUGGAAGAUGGCCUCGCGU